rnacentral:lncRNA from 1 species
UUCAUUUCCUUUGCAGGCUCUCGAGGUUCUAGAGAGUUCUCUCAACUACUUUCUUUCUCUCUCUUCUUUCUCUCACUGUAUGCUUCAUGUUCGUUAGCUUAAUCUUCACGUUUUCAUGGUAUCAGAGCCGGAUGAUCUUCAGAUCCUUCUCGGUUGCGUGUUAUCGAUCCCGUUUGAAGUUUUUGCUGAAGUUUUUUUAUGGUUACCAGUGAGAGAUACUGUUCGCAGAUGUUUGAACGAAUGUUGAGAGGGUAAUCGGAAUUUUCCUGUUAUUCGAGGUUCCGAUCUUGUAUCAGUGGGUGUUUUGGAUAAUUUUCCGGCAUCCCUAGCUUUAUUCCGACGAGUUCUUCAAAUUCUAGGGUUUUUCGAUUUUCGGACCUAGAGCUUUGAUGUUAUCCGAUGAAUUUGUCUUCGCUUGAUAGACGUUUUGGGUAACUUUCCCACGUCUGUGACCUUAUUCUGGUGAGUUUCAGAACCUACGGUUUCCGGUGUUGGACCUAGGGUUUUAUCUGUUGAUUGAAGGCCGAUCUUCUUCGGCCGCGAAGAAGGAGGGUAACUCUGUCCUUAUUUUGAGUAUUGUAUGCUUUGUAUGUGAACUUUAGUUUCUUUAUACCGAUCUUCUCCGGUCGCGAAGAAGGAAGGUAACUCUGUCCUUAUUUUGAGUAUUGUAUGCUUUGUAUGUGAACUCCGGUUUCGUUAUAUUUUGCUUACAGAGACUGUUUUCUUUUCAAACUGGUUCAUUAAUCAUGGCUUCUAAUACGAAUGCUAGUACCUCNNNN